GAAACUGGGCGCAAGCCUGAUCCAGCCAUGCCGCGUGUGUGAUGAAGGCCUUAGGGUCGUAAAGCACUUUCGCCAGAGAUGAUAAUGACAGUAUCUGGUAAAGAAACCCCGGCUAACUCCGUGCCAGCAGCCGCGGUAAUACGGAGGGGGUUAGCGUUGUUCGGAAUUACUGGGCGUAAAGCGCACGUAGGCGGAUUAGUCAGUCAGAGGUGAAAUCCCAGGGCUCAACCCUGGAACUGCCUUUGAUACUGCUAGUCUUGAGUUCGAGAGAGGUGAGUGGAAUUCCGAGUGUAGAGGUGAAAUUCGUAGAUAUUCGGAGGAACACCAGUGGCGAAGGCGGCUCACUGGCUCGAUACUGACGCUUAGGUGCGAAAGUGUGGGGAGCCAACAGGAUUAGAUACCCUGGUAGUCCACACCGUAAACGAUGAAUGCCAGUCGUCGGGUAGUAUACUAUUCGGUGGCACACCUAACGGAUUAAGCAUUCCGCCUGGGGAGUACGGUCGCAAGAUUAAAACUCAAAGGAAUUGACGGGGCCCGACAACGGGGACAUGUGGUUAAUCAACACCGCCAACUUACACCUGCUAUCGUGCGUCAAAUGACUUACUGGUGCAAACAGG
rnacentral:rRNA from 1 species